UACGUAGGGGGCAAGCGUUGUCCGGAAUCAUUGGGCGUAAAGCGCGUGUAGGCGGCUCGGUAAGUCCGCUCUGAAAGUCCGGGGCUCAACCCCGGGAGGCGGGUGGAUACUGUCGAGCUAGAGUCCGGAAGAGGCGAGUGGAAUCCUGGUGUAGCGGUGAAAUGCGCAGAUAUCAGGAAGAACACCCGUGGCGAAGGCGGCUCUCUGGGACGGUACUGACGCUGAGACGCGAAAGCGUGGGGAGCGAACAGG
rnacentral:rRNA from 1 species